rnacentral:rRNA from 1 species
CCCUUAGAUGUUCUGGGCCGCACGCGCGCUACACUGAUGAAUGCAACGAGCUCUACCCUUGACCGAAAGGCCCGGGUAAACUUGUGAAACUUCAUCGUGAUGGGGAUAGAUUAUUGCAAUUAUUAAUCUUCAACGAGGAAUUCCUAGUAAGCGCGAGUCAUCAGCUCGCGUUGAUUACGUCCCUGCCCUUUGUACACACCGCCCGUCGCUCCUACCGAUUGAAUGGUCCGGUGAAAUCUUCGGAUUGCUGACCAAGAUCUAGCAAUGGAGCUUGGUUGCGAGAAGUUGAUUAAACCUUAUUAUUUAGAGGAAGGAGAAGUCGUAACA